GACGAACGCUGGCGGCAGGCCUAACACAUGCAAGUCGAGCGGAGAGGCGGACGGGUGCGUAAUGCCUAGUAAUCUGCCUGGUAGUGGGGGAUAACGUACGGAAACGGGCGCUAAUACCGCAUACUAUCAGAUGAGCCUAGGUCGGAUUAGCUAGUUGGUGGGGUAAUGGCCUACCAAGGCGAAGAUACGUAACUGGUCUGCGAGGAUGAUCAGUCACACUGGAACGGAGACACGGUCCAGACUCCUACGGGAGGCAGCAGUGGGGAAUAUUGGACAAUGGGCGAAAGCCUGAGCCAGCCAUGCCGCGUGUGGGAAGAAGGUCUUCGGAUUGUAAAGCACUUUAAGUUGGGAGGCGUUACCAACAGAAUAAGCACCGGCUAACUUCGUGCCAGCAGCCGCGGUAAUAC
rnacentral:rRNA from 1 species